AUCCUGGUCCAGGACGAACGCUGGCGGCGUGGAUAAGGCAUGCAAGUCGAACGGAUCAUUGCAUGAAGGAGCUGCGAUUACAUCAAGGCGACGGAUUGCAAUGAUUAGUGGCGAACGAGUUAGUAUCACCCUGGCAUGUACCCCGAAGACGGGCAUAACUAGCCGAAAGGUUAGCUAAUACCCGAUAGUCUCGUCACCUCCUCGCUUCUGAACCGAAGCUAUGAAUCUUUUGAGCAUCAUUGAUGCCGAAGAUUGCUCGGUUGAGGGGCAGGGAGGUGACGAGUAAACGGAGCAAUCCGCUUUGGGAGCAGCCUAGGUCCUAUCAGCUAGUUGGUGAGGUAAUGGCUCACCAAGGCUAUGACGGGUAGGGGGCGUGAGAGCGCGACCCCCAACGAGGGAACUGAGACACGGUCCUUACACCUACGGGUGGCCGCAGUCGAGAAUAUUCCACAAUGGAGGAAACUCUGAUGGAGCGACGCCGCGUGGAGGAAGAAGGCCUUCGGGUUGUAAACUCCUUUUCAUCGGGAGGAACGCAAGUGACUGUACCGAUGGAAUAAGACGCUGCAAACUUCGUGCCAGCAGCCGCGGUAAUACGAAGGCGUCAAGCGUUGUCCGGAUUUAUUGGGCGUAAAGGGUCUCCAGUCGGUCGUGUUUGUCGGGCGUUAAAUUCCGCUGCCCAACGGCGGAGCUGCGUUCGAAACGGCACGACUCGAGGUACACAGAGGCACACGGAACGGUAGGUGUAGGGGUGAAAUCCGUUGAUAUCUACCGGAACACCAGAGGCGAAGGCGGUGUGCUGGGUGUAUCCUGACGAUCAUGAGACGAAAGCGUGGGGAGCGAAUGGGAUUAGAUACCCCAGUAGUCCACGCCCUAAACGAUGCAGAUUCGCCGUGGGAAGUAUCGACCCUUUCCGUGGCCAAGCUAACGCGUUAAAUCUGCCGCCUGGGAAGUACGGCCGCAAGGCUAAAACUCAAAGGAAUAGACGGGAGCUCGCACAAGCGGUGGUCCAUGUGGUUCAAUUCGAUGACAACCGAGGAACCUCACCAGGGUUUGAAAUGGUAGCGAAAUGCCUGGGAAACUAGGCAUGUCUCACAAGGACGCUAUCACAGGUGCUGCACGGUCCUCGUCAGUUCGUGAUGUGAAUUGUUCCCUUCAGUGGGGUAACGAACGCAACCCUCGUCGCGUGUUAUUUGUGUCACGCGAGACUGCCUCCGUUCAGGGGGAGGAAGGCGGGGAUGACGCGAGAUCAGCGUGGCCCUUUGAUACCCUGGGCUACACACAUGGAACAAUGGCGUUGACAAAGCGUUGCCAAGCCGCAAGGCGGAGCCAAUCGCAUCAAACAACGCCUCAGUUCAGAUUGGGGUCUGCAACUCGACCCCAUGAAGCAGGAAUCGCUAGUAAUCGCGGAUCAGCUAUGCCGCGGUGAAUACGUUCUCGAGCUUUGUACUCACCGCCCGUCACGUCAAGGAAGCCGGGAAUACCCGAAGCUCCUCUUUUGGAGGAACCACGGUAAGCUCGGUGACAGGGACGAAGUCGUAACAAGGCAUCCGUAGCGGAAGCUGUGGAUG
rnacentral:rRNA from 1 species